UCAGGCCUAACACAUGCAAGUCGUACGAGAGUUUUUAACUCUAGUGGCGGACGGGUGAGUAACACGUGAGAAUUUGCCUUUAGGAGGGGGACAACAAUUGGAAACGAAUGCUAAUACCCCAUAUGCUUUCGAGUGAAAUGGAUUUUAUCCGCCUAGAGAGAAGCUCGCGGCUGAUUAGCUUGUUGGUAAGGUAAGAGCUUACCAAGGCGACGAUCAGUAUCUGGUUUGAGAGGACGAUCAGACACACUGGAACUGAGACACGGUCCAGACUCC
rnacentral:rRNA from 1 species